rnacentral:rRNA from 1 species
CAGAGAGCUUGCUCUCUGGGGACAGCAGCGCACGGGUGAGUAACGCGUGGGUAACGUACCCUAGGGUUGGGGAUAACUCACCGAAAGGUGAGCUAAUACUGAAUGUGUUCUUGGGAGGUGAGCCUUCUAAGAAGAAAGCAGGGCAACCUGCGCCCUUGGAUCGGCCCGCGUUCCAUCAGUUUGUUGGUGGGGUAAUGGCCUACCAAGACUACGACGGAUAGCUGGUCUGAGAGGAUGAUCAGCCACACUGGGACUGAGACACGGCCCAGACUCCUACGGGAGGCAGCAGUGGGGAAUAUUGGUCAAUGGGCGAAAGCCUGAACCAGCAAUGCCGCGUGAGUGAUGAAGGCCUUCGGGUUGUAAAGCUCUGUCAGUGGGAAUGAAUAAGCCGAUUAAUACUCGGUGAUGACAGUACUCACAAAGGAAGCACCGGCUAACUCUGUGCCAGCAGCCGCG